rnacentral:lncRNA from 1 species
AUGAUGCUGGAGCCGGGCCGCGUGAUGCUGCUGGCGGACAUGGUUCUGAGCUGGAGGCGGCCCGCGGACUCGCUGCAGCCGGUCCACUGCCGCUGCUCCCGGGCCUUCGUGCUGGACAGAGAGCUGUAUCGUUCAGAGAGAGGAACAUCCCGACCCAAAGACGCUAAAGGUCCAGUGAUAGUAUUUGAUGAUGACGAGGAGGAGGAGGGUGAGGAGGUCUUAGAUGAGGAGACGCAGCUGAUGGUGUCCAUGGGUCUACCUCUGACCUUUGCCAGCUCCUCUGACUAUAAGAAGAUGAAGAGGAACAUCAACAGGAGGCCCGACCCUUUUGAGGAGGAGGAUGAGGAGGACGAGGAGGAGGAGGAUGAGGGGGAUGAACCAGGUGAAACAGGUAAAACAGAUAGGUUGGGAUGACUUACUGAAGUGCAUUAAAGGGAAACUAUUCCUCUAACAUACUGAUUUCAGAUCUUCUCUAAAAGGGCCACGAUUUUAUUAAGCCUGUGAGAGUAAACUAUAUUCACAUAUAUGGUCAUAUAUAACUUUUGUAACAUUAAAAAAACAAAUUAUUUAUGAAAUACGAGUCAUUUUUGUGGACUUUUCAUACCCAGAAGUGAGACGACUUGAUCUCUGAGGCUCCUCCUUUCACUUUCUCAACGUUCGUGUGAUUUACUUGCUCGUCCGGCCUCGGCAUCAGGUUUGAUUGGAGGAAUGGUGCCAGCUCUGAGGUUUAAUCUACUUUGAUACAGACCAAGGAUAACGAAACAGUCUGGGCUCUGGUCUGAUCCUCCCAUGGAACCUCACGGGGAGACCGGCGGCAGAACGCGGUGAUUGCACCACGAGGCUCUUCUGAACAUCCACAGGGCAGAGGGGCUCGAUCAGCCCACCGGUCCGGGUAUGGUCAUCAGAUCACAUGGACGGAUCUCAAUCAACGCGAAAAUUGACCACGAAGGAGAAAUUAAUAAUUGCAGUUUGUGUCCAGCUUGGAUUAAAUUACAUCAAAGCUAUGGUAUAUCAGAAUAGAGCUGUGAAAGAACAGGCCUGGAGGAGGAGUUGCGAGGUUUGCACCACUUUGUCAAUAAACCCUUUUCACGUGACGUCACAC